CUGACCCCACUUCGUGGACCCCUGACCCGAGGUGCCCGGGUGUCCUGGCACACACCAGUCACCACGAUGGUUCUUGUUAAGUGGCGGCUGAAUGAGCUGCAUGGCAGGAAGCCUUCUUGCUGUUUGCACAUUACCACAGGGACACUGAAAUUUGAAGGA
rfam:Equus caballus chromosome 9, whole genome shotgun sequence.